rnacentral:rRNA from 1 species
UUUUUCCUACGGGGCGCAGCAGUGGGGAAUAAUGGGCAAUGGGCGCAAGCCUGACCCAGCAACGCCGCGUGAAGGAAGAAGGCGUUCGGGUUGUAAACUUCUUUUCUCAGGGACGAAGCAAGUGACGGUACCUGAGGAAUAAGCCACGGCUAACUACGUGCCAGCAGCCGCGGUAAUACGUAGGUGGCAAGCGUUAUCCGGAUUUACUGGGUGUAAAGGGCGUGUAGGCGGGGACGCAAGUCAGAUGUGAAAACCACGGGCUAAA